UCAUCCCAUGGGGGCAUCCUCACCCCGUUCCUUCUCCUGCAGGGUGCCCCAGGAGCACCAGGGACCAAGGGUGACCGCGGCGAGCCGGGCCCUCCUGGACCCCCGGGACGAGCAGUGGAUGCGGGGCUCGGAGGAGCAGGGGAGAAGGGCGAGAAGGUAACAAAAAACCCACACGGGGUGCUCGGCGUCACGCUGCGGGACCCCUGCCUGUGGGGUCUCCCCUCUGAGCACGGCUCCUCAGCUUCUUCCCCCCGCAGGGGGACCCCGGGGACCCUGGUGAGGACGGUGCGAAGGGUGCCAGGGGUGACCCCGGCCCCCCCGGCCUGCCAGGAGAGAGGGUACGUGUGGGGUGUGUGGGGGCAAUGGGGCAGCGCUGCCCCUGCCCCCCCUGAGCAGCUCUUUUUUGCAGGGCAUCGAGGGUCCCCGCGGCCCCCCUGGCACACGGGUA
rnacentral:lncRNA from 1 species